GGCCUGGGAGUUUCUGCAUGCCAUGGGUGCAGCCAAAAAAAAAAAGCUAUCCUUUUGUAUAGUUUACAUAAAGUUUUCCCUUUCCAGGUAUCAUUUUAUAGUCUCGUGUCUUUUUAGGCUAAAGUUGUUCUUAACAAAAUACAAUUAUUAUUCAGUUUUGACAUUCAAAUUGUGAUGCAUUGUUGCCAAUUUUUACAGUUUGGCCAAGAAGUCCUUUGUUCUAUUAGUGCAUCCCACGACUCUGAAACUUUUCAUUGUUUGAGGCCAGCAGCAGGAUACUUCAAGCCCAUCCCAAUCUUUUUCUACUCCUUAGACAUAGAAUCAGUUACUCUCUUAUGGAGUCUUGAUUCCUUUUAAUAUAGAAUUAUAUCAGAACACAAACACUGGAUACUUAAAAUUAGGCAAAAUAAUAAUAAUUUCUGCUGCCAUGGGUUUUUUUGUUUGUUUGGUUGGUGGCUGUUGUUUGUUUGUUUUUUUGUCUUUUGUCUUUUUAAGGUCGAACCCAUGGCAUGUGGAGGUUCUCAGGCUAGGGGGUCUAACCUGCGCUGUAGCUGCUGGUCUACGCCACAGCUGCAGCAACGCCAGAUCCAAGCCGCAUCUGUGACCUACAUUCCAGCUCACGGCAAUGCUGGACCCUUAACACACUGAGUGACGCCAGGGAUCGAACCACAACCUCAUGGUUCCUAGUCAGAUUCGUUUCUGCUGCGACAUGACAGGAACUCCUCUGCUGUCAUUUCUGAAGUCAUACACCUGGAAAAGAAAUGUAUUUUGAAUGUGUUAUUGCUCAUCUUUCAAAACAAUUCUUUUUUUUUUUUUUUUAAUCCUAGAAAGACAGCAGUCUCAAAAACUUGACUUCACAGAGAGCGAGAGAGAGGGAAAAAAGUUUUUCUGAUUCCAGAAUCUUCCCAUUACUUAGCAAAAGCUUGGGGAGCUGAGAGAGGAGACUGUUAAGAAACUACAGUAUAAAGAGGAUGCAGAAUGUGAUCUGGGUGUUUUCACUCCAGGAGACAAAGAAAAGCCCUUGCAGUUUAGGAGGGAUGAGGAGAAGAGAGCCAGCAGAGGAGGGAGCUGAGCCAAGAGGUUCUUCUCUUCUGCCCUCCCUGCUCUGGCUGAAUAUGAAGAAAGCAGUGUCCCAUAAGAGCAAAAUACUCCCAUGGUUGGGGAUAGGGGAGAGCAAACAAGCCAGGCCCGUCUGCUUCCCAGCUGGAUCUUAGGAGGGUCUAGGGACUCCCACAAGAAGUACAGUGUGCCAGUGUUGAGGGCUAGGCCUGGGGCAGCUCCAGGAUCCAGAGCUGCCCAAAGUCACAGUCAAUAACCCAGGUGCUAACUUCCUCCUCAAAAUACAGAGUAAGUUUAAGGAAGAGGGAUGCAGGCAGGACUUUUAAGCCAGAGCUUGAAAGUGAGCUGCAAACCAUGCCUCAAGGAUGGCAGGUCCAGCAAGCACGAGGUAAAAGUAAGCAAGCGUGGGGCACAGGGACCGCUGGGUUUCUGGGACAAGGCAUAAGCAGGUCCUGAACUCCUGAAGCCACCACACAUCAAUAAGGGACUCAGUGGUGACUGGCAUACAGCCUCAGGCCAUAGACCACUCCAUGGCAUCUGACCUCUUGGGAAGGGAGACACCUUUAGAGGGAAGUUCUGAUGAGGAAGUCUUAAAUCUGAAGAGACCUUAAUAUUUGCAAAAGUCUCUUUUAAACCAGAAGAGACGCAGUACCUUUAGUCAGCAAGUUACUACCUCAUUUCCUACCUUAGUGGAUUGGAGGUGUCGCAAGAUGAGGCAGAUGUACAUGUGGCUGGACCACUGCCUUGGGCGCCCAGUGCUUUUUCUUCCGUGUAAAUCAUUCCUCCCCGCUGGGCUGGAGGCACUUUGACCAGGCUCGCGCUGUACUUUGGACACUUGGCCUCUAGAGGACGCGCGGAAGCCUCGACCUGCCAGCUUCGCUGAAACCCUUGAUCCCGCGUCCCUGCCUCAGAAGUGUGUUCUCCCUCCCUCAAAGCUCCUCUCAGCCUCACCAAUGUUUUGUGUCAGGCUUUACUUUUGCAAGCUGUGUUGCAAUGAGGUAGAGUUUCCCUCCUCUUCCAAACGUGAGUUAUUAUAAUUUGAAUGUGGUUUCUAAAUAUUCCUGUUCCGUUCCACCCUGGAGAUUUUCAUAUCCCUAAACAUAAAGGCGUGUGCCCACUAGUCCCAGAUCACUCUGGGGUGGAGCCCAGAGAUCUGGGCAUUAGCAGCCCUCCCUGGUGAUUCCCAGGCACACUCUGGCUUGAGAAUUGCUGCUCUAUACUCUAGCCCCUCUUUCUGUCUUGUCCCAUAGCCACCACCUAGAGGGAAGAAACCAUGGAAGUCUGGAGAUGAAAUGCCCUGUUGCAAGGGGCAAAGAGGACAGGAGUAAUAAGGUGGUGCUUUCCUGAGCUCCAAAGGCUAUGACAUAUCUGAGAAUCAGACAACACCCACAGUGCAGGACAAAGGUUUCUGGUUUCUGCCCCCUCCAGCUACUCCCUGCUCUACACAGGGGCUUCAAGGAAACUUCUGCUUGGCAUUGUAAGUACAGACCCAAAUAGAAUCACAGCCUGAAGGCACUUUAGGCAAUUUUUUCCCCUCUUUCCAAGCAUUAUUCACUUUGCUCAUUCAAGCCUUUGCUGACAGUGCCAUGUGCUGCCCACUGAGCCCAGAUAGAUAAGGAGUCUCCAGAGCCCUGCACCAUGAUGCCUGCUCAUUGCAGCUGCCCCAGUUGUUGGACUUGAGGUACCAAUGGGAAGGAUGAACAAGCAAAUAGACCUUCUAGUGCAGGAAGCCCGGAGCCUGAGAGCCCUAAUCCCACUGUAUGUUCUGGGUGCAGCCACCACUCAGGAUCUAGAUGCUGUAGCUUGUCCCCAGGGGGAGGAAUGAGCAAAGUGAACUAACACAGAUGAUGGUUUAUAGGGUGUGAUUGGUCCCUUCCAUGAUCCCUGAAAUCUUCAUAUCAGCCAUGCAUAUGGAAGGAGGAAAACUCCCAUCUUCCCCAUGAAGACACAGGACAACUGAAAGCCUGGGCCAAGCUCUCUAAGCUAGGAGUCUGAUUCCAGCUCAUCUGAUGCCACCCCUGGGCUGCCCCAUAUUCCAGGCUGCCUCUGAGGGGAGUGAACCCCAAGUCUGCCUCCAAGAUAUUCUGAGGACCUGCUUCAGCAUGAGGAAUCUGGGGUGGAAAGGAAGAGCCUUGCUUUGCCCCUAACCAAACUCCUUCAGGUCUCUUCCCCUGAGGACCUCUGUUUCUUCACCCCUCACCCAUAAAAUGAGGAGGUGGGAAAGGUCAGGUCUCUGUCCUCCCCAGCUCCACACUCCUGGCUCUGGUCCAGCUCUGCCCUUGUAACCAUAUCUCCUACCUGAACAGGACCAUUUGCAUAAGCUGUGGAGCCCAGAGCAAAAUGAAAUUGCAGGGUCCCUUAUUAAAAGAAAGAAGGAAAGAAG
rnacentral:lncRNA from 1 species